rnacentral:rRNA from 1 species
AUGCUGGAGGUAUCAGAAGUGCGAAUGCUGACAUAAGUAACGAUAAAGCGGGUGAAAAGCCCGCUCGCCGGAAGACCAAGGGUUCCUGUCCAACGUUAAUCGGGGCAGGGUGAGUCGACCCCUAAGGCGAGGCCGAAAGGCGUAGUCGAUGGGAAACAGGUUAAUAUUCCUGUACUUGGUGUUACUGCGAAGGGGGGACGGAGAAGGCUAUGUUGGCCGGGCGACGGUUGUCCCGGUUUAAGCGUGUAGGCUGGUUUUCCAGGCAAAUCCGGAAAAUCAAGGCUGAGGCGUGAUGACGAGGCACUACGGUGCUGAAGCAACAAAUGCCCUGCUUCCAGGAAAAGCCUCUAAGCAUCAGGUAACAUCAAAUCGUACCCCAAACCGACACAGGUGGUCAGGUAGAGAAUACCAAGGCGCUUGAGAGAACUCGGGUGAAGGAACUAGGCAAAAUGGUGCCGUAACUUCGGGAGAAGGCACGCUGAUAUGUAGGUGAAGUCCCUCGCGGAUGGAGCUGAAAUCAGUCGAAGAUACCAGCUGGCUGCAACUGUUUAUUAAAAACACAGCACUGUGCAAACACGAAAGUGGACGUAUACGGUGUGACGCCUGCCCGGUGCCGGAAGGUUAAUUGAUGGGGUCAGCGCAAGCGAAGCUCUUGAUCGAAGCCCCGGUAAACGGCGGCCGUAACUAUAACGGUCCUAAGGUAGCGAAAUUCCUUGUCGGGUAAGUUCCGACCUGCACGAAUGGCGUAAUGAUGGCCAGGCUGUCUCCACCCGAGACUCAGUGAAAUUGAACUCGCUGUGAAGAUGCAGUGUACCCGCGGCAAGACGGAAAGACCCCGUGAACCUUUACUAUAGCUUGACACUGAACAUUGAGCCUUGAUGUGUAGGAUAGGUGGGAGGCUUUGAAGUGUGGACGCCAGUCUGCAUGGAGCCGGCCUUGAAAUACCACCCUUUAAUGUUUGAUGUUCUAACGUUGACCCGUGAUCCGGGUUGCGGACAGUGUCUGGUGGGUAGUUUGACUGGGGCGGUCUCCUCCUAAAGAGUAACGGAGGAGCACGAAGGUUGGCUAAUCCUGGUCGGACAUCAGGAGGUUAGUGCAAUGGCAUAAGCCAGCUUGACUGCGAGCGUGACGGCGCGAGCAGGUGCGAAAGCAGGUCAUAGUGAUCCGGUGGUUCUGAAUGGAAGGGCCAUCGCUCAACGGAUAAAAGGUACUCCGGGGAUAACAGGCUGAUACCGCCCAAGAGUUCAUAUCGACGGCGGUGUUUGGCACCUCGAUGUCGGCUCAUCACAUCCUGGGGCUGAAGUAGGUCCCAAGGGUAUGGCUGUUCGCCAUUUAAAGUGGUACGCGAGCUGGGUUUAGAACGUCGUGAGACAGUUCGGUCCCUAUCUGCCGUGGGCGCUGGAGAACUGAGGGGGGCUGCUCCUAGUACGAGAGGACCGGAGUGGACGCAUCACUGGUGUUCGGGUUGUCAUGCCAAUGGCACUGCCCGGUAGCUAAAUGCGGAAGAGAUAAGUGCUGAAAGCAUCUAAGCACGAAACUUGCCCCGAGAUGAGUUCUCCCUGACUCCUUGAGAGUCCUGAAGGAACGUUGAAGACGACGACGUUGAUAGGCCGGGUGUGUAAGCGCAGCGAUGCGUUGAGCUAACCGGUACUAAUGAACCGUGAGGCUUAACCUUACAACGCCGAAGGUGUUU